UAUUGAAGUCAAACAAUUUCUAUACAUUUUCUAGAAAUAUUUGUUAAAUGUACAUAUUCAUCCUUAUUUUCUGCAUGAAAAACAUCUUUCAAUAAUUUAUUUACCAGUUUAAUAUUUUGGGAUACCAUUGUCAAGGGGUACAAUCAAAAUCAUGUGAUGGAUAUACACACACCGGAAGUAACAGUCGAGCAGACCGCUUGAAAGGUACUUUCUGUGGCAUGUUUUCAUGGUGUGGGAAUAAGACUUGGUGGUCAAAUACAGCUAAUAUGUAGGUUAGCACCACAGCUUGUCUGCAAGGAUUGAAGCUGGGAAACGGCCAUUGGAGCUGAAUUUUAUGGAAGCUGUGGCUGCAGCAAUGAUUAUGUGAUAAAACUGAAGAAUGUUAUUCAAUUUUUUUUUGUAUAUAUUUCAAAAAAUGUAAUUUUUUAUAAAAAAAAAAAAAAAAAAAAAAAAGGUGUAAAGAUUCUCCAUUUUCAAUUAGAUUGGAAGCUUGUAUUUACAAUUGUUAGAUCUUCUUCGUUAUUCCGCCACCCCCUGUAUCUCUAUUUCAUUUUUACUUUGAAAAUGAAAUGGAACAGACAAAUUUUACUUGUCAACUUAAUAAUAGUCUGUCUAGUCAAAAGGCCUCCAGUUGGUUUAGAAUGGAGAAUCUAAAAAAAAAUAUGUAAAGUGUUUUUUUUUAGUUUCCUGAAUUUUUAUAUACAUUUUGUUAUUGCUCCCUUUCAAUUUUUAUAAAUUCCAGAUUUUAAGUUUUGGAUUUAUGGGGCUUUAUUCAUAAAAAAGGGGGAUUUUUCACACCUGGACAAUAACUCAAAAAGGCUUUCACCAAUGUCCAUGAAACUUUUAUGAAUUGUUUAUAUCUAUUGACAUAAGCUCCCUUUCCCUUUUUAUUAAUUUUAGAUUUUACGUUUUCUUAAGUAAUGAAUUUUUAUACUUAAAAAAGGGGGAUUUUAUGCAGUUUUGGUGAAACUUAAAAGAGCAACGGCCGUAUCAUGUGCUAAAGCGCAUCCCUUUAUUGAAAUGUGUUGUAGUUUUUACAUAUUAUUAUUUCUUUAUUUUAAUUAUACAAAUUUUGUAUUGUUAAAUAUUUAAAGGGUGUGGAGUCUCAACAGUGUGAAAUUUUCAGGACAAAAGGGAGGUAAUUCCUUUGUUAUACUCAUUAUACUUGAAAUUUCCUGAGUGUUUAUAUGGAAUAUAACUUUUUUAAUUAAAAUAUUCACUUUUGUACACAUUUUCUUUAAAUAUCAGAUGUAUACUUGCUAAAAUUACUUUUAUUUAGAGUUCUGUAAAUAAAAAAAAAUGUAAACAGAGCUCUAGCUAUAGAUAAUAGAUUUGGAGGGUGGGAGAAAUUGUGGGUAACUACAAUUGAUUAGGUGAAAUUUCAAAAGACUUAAAAAGUGCAUCUGAUAUUUAUUUUUACAUAAUGUUAUUUCUGAAAGCAAAUGGACAAUAAGAUGAGGACAUAAACCACCUUCCAGGUUAGGAUAGCAGCUCUUAAGGAAGAUGGUCAAUUAAAUCUUCAACCCAGUCUGAGGCCUUACCAUGAAAAAUAUGUGGUUGUUGAAAUUACAAUGUUUUCAUGGUGUGGGGAGUAAGACUUGAAUAUCUGAUAUUGUUAACAUGAUGUUGAAAGUGUCACCUUUGCUGCCUUGUGUGGUACAAUCUUCAGACAAUAUCCUGCAAACUGUGGCUGAACUGUUACUAUCUUUUUUUAGUAGAAUCCUUAGACAGUAAUCUUGUGGCAGAAUGAGUUGUAAACAAAUUGUUUUUAUUCCUGUAUUGAGUUUCAAAUUGGAUAUUUUUGUAUUUAUAUUAUUUGUAUUCCAUUUGCAUUCAAUUAUUGUUUUUUAAUUGAUGAAUCAUUAAAACUUAAAUUUUGCGGGGUCCUAAAGGACUUUCUUAGAGGGGGCCAGCGCAAUUGAUUAAACAAAAUUUUUCCCGCAACAGGGAGAGGAGACAUCCCCAUAAAUAUGCCUUUGAAAUGGGGUGUUAAAGAAGAUUUGUAUUGUUUGUUUGUUUGUCCAUCAUCAGCUCUCAUCCACAGCUUGGUAGAUUUUCAUUGAAACUUUCAGCUGAUUUUCUGUACUAAAGGCAGUAUGUUUUUU